AUGAACUAUUAACUUCGUGUUUUUGUUAAAUUGUUUUUGAGGUCCCUUAUUCCUCUUUCCUCUCCUCAAAAGUUCCGGUUAUAGUGUUUUUCUUUUUAUGACUGCAUUGCCUCUUGUUACAUAACUCGUUGGCCAUGAUGGCUCACUUUAACAUCUCAAAAUAUACUACUGACUUCUUCGUCUUUAUUAUUUUUAUUAUAAACUCGACACAGGACCAGCCUAAAAAA
rnacentral:lncRNA from 1 species